UAAGCAUUUGGUCCGUCGGUCUACUGAGCAAUUUCAUCCGCUGGGUGGAUAAUCUUCUCUUUGCCAU
rnacentral:pre_miRNA from 1 species